rnacentral:rRNA from 1 species
GAUGAACGCUGGCGGCGUGCCUAAUACAUGCAAGUCGAGCGAACAGACGAGGAGCUUGCUCCUCUGACGUUAGCGGCGGACGGGUGAGUAACACGUGGAUAACCUACCUAUAAGACUGGGAUAACUUCGGGAAACCGGAGCUAAUCCCGGAUAAUAUAUUGAACCGCAUGGUUCAAUAGUGAAAGACGGUUUUGCUGUCACUUAUCGAUGGAUCCGCGCCGCAUUAGCUAGUUGGUAAGGUAACGGCUUACCAAGGCAACGAUGCGUAGCCGACCUGAGAGGGUGAUCGGCCACACUGGAACUGAGACACGGUCCAGACUCCUACGGGAGGCAGCAGUAGGGAAUCUUCCGCAAUGGGCGAAAGCCUGACGGAGCAACGCCGCGUGAGUGAUGAAGGUCUUCGGAUCGUAAAACUCUGUUAUUAGGGAAGAACAAAUGUGUAAGUAACUAUGCACGUCUUGACGGUACCUAAUCAGAAAGCCACGGCUAACUACGUG